rnacentral:lncRNA from 1 species
GUGGCAGCCCUACCUCUCCCAUAACUCCGUUUUCUCCUCAGAUCGGUUCCGGCAGCGCUUGGCGAGGCCCUGCUGGCACUGCUCCACCAUCAUCUCCACCAUGCCGUUGUGCUGGUUGAGAUCCCAUCUACUUCUCCUUCCUCUCUUGCUGGAUCAAUAAGAAGGGACAAUGAAGCGGACGACGCCGGCGGUCGCGUGUGAUGACGAUGAGGUGGAGGACACUGGUGGCCGCGCGUGACGACCAUGAUCGGGACGAUGCCGGUGGCCGCACACGAUGACCGAGGCGGAGGACGCCGGUGGCCGCGCACGACAACGAUGAGGCAACGAACGUCGGUGGCUGCGCACGACGACCAUAAGGCGCAGGACGCGGGUGGCCGCGCAUGACAACCAUGAGGCGGACGACGCCGGUGGUUGAAGGAAUAACCAUAUGCAUCAUGG